rnacentral:rRNA from 1 species
UACGUAGGGGGCAAGCGUUGUCCGGAAUUAUUGGGCGUAAAGAGCGUGUAGGCGGUCCGGUAAGUCAGCUGUGAAAGUCAAGGGCUCAACCCUUGAAUGCCGGUUGAUACUGUCGGGCUAGAGUCCGGAAGAGGCGAGUGGAAUUCCCGGUGUAGCGGUGAAAUGCGCAGAUAUCGGGAGGAACACCAAUGGCGAAGGCAGCGCGCUGGGACGUGACUGACGCUGAGACGCGAAAGCGUGGGGAGCAAACAGG